rnacentral:tRNA from 1 species
GCCGAGUGAAUCACUACUGGAUAACUUCUGCUUCCCAAGCAGACAGCGCGGGUUCGAUUCCCGUCAUCGGCU